UUGGAGGGCAAGUCUGGUGCCAGCAGCCGCGGUAAUUCCAGCUCCAAUAGCGUAUAUUAAAGUUGCUGCAGUUAAAAAGCUCGUAGUUGAAUUUCGGGACCAAUAUGUCGGUCGUGCCUCGGUACGUACUGGCAUCGUUGGUUUCUCCCUUCUGACGAACCAUGAUGUCAUUUAUUUGGAGUCGUGGGGAAUCAGGACUGUUACUUUGAAAAGAUUAGAGUGUUUAAAGCAGGCUCACGCUUGAAUACAUUAGCAUGGAAUAAUGAAAUAGGACGUUUGAUUCUAUUUUGUUGGUUUCUAGGAUCGACGUAAUGAUUAAUAGGGAUAGUUGGGGGCAUUAGUAUUCAAUUGUCAGAGGUGAAAUUCUUGGAUUUAUUGAAGACUAACUACUGCGAAAGCAUUUGCCAAGGAUGUUUUCAUUAAUCAAGAACGAAAGUUAGGGGAUCGAAGACGAUCAGAUACCGUCGUAGUCUUAACCAUAAACUAUGCCGACUAGGGAUCGGAUGAUGUUAAUUUUUUUAUGACUCAUUCGGCGCCUUACGGGAAAC
rnacentral:rRNA from 1 species